UAUUCGCCUGUCCCCUGUCUGUGCUUCCGCCUCAGUGACCAGAGCCGUCGGGAUGAUGUAGGCAAGGGCCCCCAGAUAUCUUGAAACGGCCCUGUCAGUGACCAAGCCUGUUUUCGACCUUCAGCCUGGACUUUCGUCUGGUUCCCCUCGUGUGCUCCCGACCCGGGCUGUGAAGUGUGUCACUUGGAUUCAGAAUCCGUGACGAGUCCCCAGAGCAGUUCCACUGAAGAUUCAUCCAUUACUAUCCUGUGUGAACUGUUCUUACUGACUGUGUUUAAUAAACACCCUUUCAUUGUAUUCCUGUCUGAGGGUCUUGCAUUUGGGUUCGGUCCACGUACUACCAGCCUUAACAGGUGUGAAGUAUGGAAUGUGAUACCUGCACAGGUGCUGAGGGAGAGCUUUACUGCUCUCCUGAGGACACCUCCUCGUCAGCUAUUAAUAUGGGCAGAGGAGACGGAUCGUCGACCAACUCCCCUUCCGACAGAGUAGGAGAGGCUGGCGGAGGCGUACGGGCUGCAGGAGGAGGAGAUGAGCGAGCA